rnacentral:rRNA from 1 species
CCAGACUCCUACGGGAGGCAGCAGUGAGGAAUAUUGCACAAUGGGGGAAACCCUGAUGCAGCGACGCCGCGUGAGUGAAGAAGUAUCUCGGUACGUAAAGCUCUAUCAGCAGGGAAGAAAAUGACGGUACCUGACUAAGAAGCCCCGGCUAACUACGUGCCAGCAGCCGCGGUAAUACGUAGGGAGCAAGCGUUAUCCGGAUUUACUGGGUGUAAAGGGAGCGUAGACGGCAGCACAAGUCUGGAGUGAAAUCCCGGGGCUUAACCCCGGAACUGCUUUGGAAACUGUGCGGCUGGAGUGCAGGAGGGGUAAGCGGAAUUCCUAGUGUAGCGGUGAAAUGCGUAGAUAUUAGGAAGAACACCAGUGGCGAAGGCGGCUUGCUGGACAGUAACUGACGUUGAGGCUCGAAAGCGUGGGGAGCAAACAGGAUUAGAUACCCUUGUA